CCAUGUUGACGGCCGAGACCGGAAGUCGAAGGGCGGGGCGGAAGGGCAACCCGCAGGAAGCCUGCCGAGAGCAACCUGAGCCGGUUCUCCCGGCAGUCUCGCGCCGUAGCGUGUGCGGGACCCGGCGGGAGCCGGUGAGGCGCGUGGGAGUGGGGCGGAGCCGGUGCGUGGGUGAAAAGGCGGAAGAGAGCUUCGCGCGCUGCCGGAAGCGGGAUGAGGACUCAGCCGGUCUCGUCACCGUAAACGUCACUCGUGGCCCCGCCCGGGCUGUCGCCGCCGCAGCAGCCCCAGGCGUUGUAAAGGUCACAAGUUGCCUUAAGGAAUGGAUCAGCGCUCUCUAAGUGGGGCACUUUACCCCCAUGGAGGGGGCCUUGCCUGGGUGUUCGUGAGUUACGCUUCUGGAAUCGUGGAGAAAUCGUCGGGACCGGGCGCUUGGGAUUUCUCAAGACUUUGCUCCUCCCAUAGACGGCCUAGGCGUUUUGCGUGGGAGGACGUUCCCGUCCCUUUUUUAUUUUUUUUUUUUAAGCUGUGGGAAAAUGGGAGAGAAAAUAUGAUUGGGCGUAGGGACUGAGCUGCCGGCAGAAUAACUGAACUUUCGAUUGAGCUGGGUGUUUGCUGAGUCCGUUACCAUCCCCCAAAUCCGCACAGCCUCUGAAAUCAGACUGUUUAGAUUGAAAUUCUAGCUCUACUGGGCGCUAUCAACUCUCUUCAGGCUCUGGAAUCUAGGCAACCACAGCAAUCAGGGGAAGGCCUAGUGAGGACAAGCUGCUGCUCUAAGACUGGACUCUAAUUGAUACACCUGGCAAAAGGAAAUGCAAAAAGCCCCAGUUGCAUUGACUUCACAUAGAACAAUCAACACCCUGCCACUGUUCAACUUAACAAUGAAACGUUUCAAAACCUCACUAAGAAACAACCCACCACAAGCAGAAAUCAGCAGACAUAGUGGAAGGUUUGGAGGCCCCCAAACUGUUACAGACCUAGGUAUCAUAAUCUUUAUUCCAGGUUCUUACUCCCAGAGAUAAGAAUUCAAAGCAGAGGCAUGAUACAGUGCAUGAGUGAGAGCAGGAUUUAAAAUGGGGAGAGACAACGAACAUGAGUGUGGGCCACCCCACCCACUGAGACGCCUGUUAUGAAUAGGCUUGUGAGGAGAGAGAAGGAAAGAAGGCCCAAGAAGAUUCCCCAAGCAUGCUCAAGAGAAAAGGAGGGUGCGUCCCAUGUUAUCAGUGUCUUUUUAUGAUGUGGGGGCUGAAGGGUUAGCAUGCAUAAGGCCCUUUGGGAUUUUCAUGGCGCCUCGCUGUGGAAUUUAACUUUUAUGUGGCCAUCAUGGCAUCUCCUCCUUCCUGGUCCCGGGUGAGAUACAGGCACAUCAUGGGAAGGUGGGCAGAUCAAACUGACAGGUGAGAGGGUAAAGUUACAAUGCACAGCUGGCAGAAAUUCCAGCUCGUAAGUAACGCUCAGUGACCUCAGAGUCACCCCUAAAGGCGUUCUGGGCUGGCUGAAAAGCCCACGGGAGCAUUUCAGGCAUGGAAAGCCAGGACACUCCUACAUGGAGGACCUCCCUGGGUGAGACUCCAGUGGAAAGAAGUGGUCAUCAUCUUAGCUAUAUAAUAUGUACUUUGAGUGUGUAACAUCAAGUUUUAACAAAUAUUUAAAGACAAAGUCACAUCAAGCAGAUACUAAAAGGUUCAUUUUUAUAUUUGUUUUCGAUGUUUUAAAUAGUUGCAAUGGCUUCAAAAUGACGAUUUACAAUGUUGCUUAUAAUGCCUGCUGAGUUCUCCACAUUUUGUAACCUGUUUUAUUUCUUUGGGUGAAAAGCGUUUUUUGCUUAGUAUUGUGAUAUUGCAUAUGUUUUGUCCCAGUUGUAUAGUAAUGUUACAGUGUAUAUCCAGCUUUGGCUGCUGAAAGCAUACAGCUGUGAAGACCUUGCCUUUUUUUCUGUUAGACUGCUUUUCAGUUCUGUAUUGAGUAUCUUAAGUACUGGAGAAAAGAUGUCACUUCUUCCUUUAAGGCUGUUUGGUAAUCUAUAUAAGCACUGGAAUUGUGUUUUUAAAGAAAAGCAUUCAAGUAUGACAAUAUAGUAUCUGUGUUUUCAUCACUCAAAAUGCUGUUUAGUAGUUGAAACUUAAAACUAUUUAAUGUCAUUUAAUCAAGUGACCAAAAUGUGUUGUGCUCUUUAUUGCAUUUUCACAGCUUUGAAAAUCUGUGCCCAUGUUGUUUCAUAGACAGUGUACCGCUUUUAAUGUCCUAUUUAAUGGUGAUUCUUUUGCACAUUUAGUUGUUUAAUACUGGAAAGUCAAGAACUUUGAUUUUUUGUAAUGUGUUAUAUAAAUUCUGUAAAAGGAGAUCUCUAACCUCAAAAAGAAUUUAUAUUCCAGGAAGCCUGUGUGUGUUUGUAUUAGUUUUGGUUGUCUGUGUAAUCCAGCACGAUUUUCUUGCUUCCCAACAGCUGGAUCCUUUGUUUGAAGUCAGGCAAGGCUACCAACCCACACAUGAUACACGAGCUGCUUGCCAUUCAGAAAUCAUAGCAGGUAGAGGGAAACCUUAUUUACCUAGCCUCGAAAGAAGCUGAGUAUUCUGGAGUCUUCCCCUAGCUAUACCCAUUUUCCCUCUGUUGUCAUAGAAUCAUAUUCUUAUUUUUGUGCUCCAGACAAAGCCAGUAACCAUAUAACGUGUUGUGAGGCUAUCCAUACUUAUUCUAACAGUAAAAUAGGCCAAUCCUUUUAUAUGUUUAUUUCAGUAAAAAUUAUGUUCAAGAUAUUAUGUACCUUAUUUCACCAGACUCAAUGUGGCUUUUGGCUGUCUCCAGAUCAAGUCUAACCUUAGAGAAUUAAAAUUGUUCCACUAUUUUUUCCUCCAAAAACCUAUAAUCUGAGCCAGGCUCAAAGGAGUGACCAAGUUUCAGAAAUGGUUUCAUCUGUGCAACACUUUAUAUGUGCAACCGUAUGAGGGUGAAUAAAAAUUUAAAAUACAAAAAAAGGUAGUCCUCAAAGAAGGAUGUACCUUUCUCCGAGGGGAGGAGAGAACUUCCACUUUGCCUAUGGCCUUGUCCAAAUACUGACAAGUUUGUGGAUUCAAAAGGCUUCCAUAGCCUAGGCAGCUCAUGUCAAGAGCCUCGGGUGAUCACUGAUGUCAUACAUAAAAGAGUGUUAGUUGUUAAAUUAACAACAGGAGUCACUGUGUAGUAACUUCCCAUGCAAGACCUCUGUCCUCAAAGAAUUGCAGUAUAAGAAUUAAUGGUAAAACUUGUUCUCAAAGAUUUACUUUCUUCUAGUGUGUUAUAUUAUUAUGUAUCAUAAGUUCUAGUAAUGUCUAAGUGUCAAACUCCAUUGCCUGUAUUCUUAGGUGCUUCUUUAAAGUUAACUAAGUGUCUCAAACCUGGACUCUUGGAUGCAUGUCUCCCUGUGAUAUAUUCCUGUCUCGUAUGUUUUAACACAAGGUCAAAUGGAGAGUACAGAAUGGUUCAAGGCCUCAGGACUAUAGUGAGACAGUUGUUUAAAUGCAUGUUUUUGUGUGCUAACCCUUUGCCUAAGGGAGAAUUUCUUCUGCAUCCCACUAAACCCAGAAUCUGGAAAGUAAGGGUACAGAAUUUCCCAAACAGAAGCUCAGGUUUCCAAACAAGAGGUAGAUUACCUGAGAUAUGUUCUAACCCCAGGAAAGUGUGCUCUUUCAGUCAACAGAAAGGAAGCUAUUCUGUGUGUAUAUAUAUAGUCACCACAGACUAAAAAGCAGCUAAGGAUGUUUGUGGGAAUGACAGGAUUCUGCAGAAUAUGGAUUCCAGGAUUUGAAUUCCAAGCUUUUGUAUGAGCUUUAAAAGGCCCUGACAACAGACACACUGUGCUGGACAGGACAACUACAAAAGGUGUUCCAAAGAAUGAAAGAGCUUUUAACAAAAGUUCCAAUGUUAGGAAUUCCUGAACAGGCUAUUCAUAGGAUCCUCUUCAGAUUAGUUGCAGCUUAAAUGGAAGGGACCUUAGCAGGUACUACUGAGCAUGACUACCUCAGUAAAAUUAGAAUUUAACUUCUACCCCCUGAGUCUCCACAGGUGAACUCAAAAGACAUACCUGAUUAUUCCUGUAAGCCAAUCGAGACCUUAAGCACCUCUUCAAAGGCAAAAAAAAGAUAAUUAAGCUUUUGCUUUCAUCACAUCAAGACUGCUGCACCUCAAGGCAGACAUGCUGUACCUGCCUCUUUUGAUUCUCUCUGGGAACUGUUAUUGACAAAAAACUUAACAGGUUCUUCUAGAAUCAUUCUCUACACUCAAGCUAAACAAUUUUAUAAUCUACAUAAGAGUUGCUUAUCGCUAUCCACUAUCUGGGAGAUGGUGAGAUACGUUCUUUUCAUCUGAAGAGCACCCCAUUCGCAGUUGGCUUUGUUCCAGUUUUGCUUAUGCUGAUUGACAAACUUAUAUGUUUCAGAGCUCAGCAAAUUCUGAGAAUAACUGACUGUGCAGGGGACACAGCCCCUGGUGGUGACUGAGACUACUCCAGCUCAUAAAGUGAAUUUGUUAGAUGACAUAGGUAGAGACUUCCAGACCCAGGACUGUGCUAUGCCCCUCAUAAACAGGAAGCAGCUGUAGAAUAUAUGAUAAUUCUACAUCCUUCAUCAUCCCUUAAGAAUAAGGUCUGGAGUCUCUGAGAGGGCAAUAACAUGGGCAGGCAGAUAGGAUAAACUUGAUUAGGUUUGUGAGCUGGAAGACCAUGCCCCCUGUGUGAUCUCAUGCCCCUACCUGACCCCACCUGUACACCCACCUGCCUAUCAGACUAUGUAACCCCUCCCUCUUGGGCAGUAAAUAAAAGGCCUGGAACAUGGUGGGCCCUUCCCUUGUUGCCCUUGUUGCCCCCACAGGCACAUGGUGGCUCUCUGCUCUCCUGCCUGCAUGCUUGUUCCACGUGGCUCCUGGCCUGUUCUCUGCUUGGCAUGGAUCCAACUUAGCUUCUAGACCUCUCUUUCUCCCCUAAAUAAAGCCCUCACUCUCCUGUGUAUUCCUCUCACUGAAUAAAAAGCUUAAAACUUAAAAAAAAAAAAUUUGAGCUCACAGACCCCUAACUCCCUGCCUCGUUUCGCUGUAUCAAAACCAAAAAUAAUUGGACAAAAUUUGAAAGAGAAUAUAAAACCAGUAUAUUUUAGACAAUUAGCCAUCUGAAAGACGGAUUGAAAUGCUAACAAAAGGACACAAUUUGGAAAAAUCAUAAAUUAUGAAAAAGUAACCAUAGUUUUAAAAAAGCACAGGCCUGGGAGUGCAAGCCUCUCCUUGACAUAGUGAUUUCAUUUCCUUUGGGUACACAGGAGGUCGUCAAAAAGUUCAUGGAAAAUGCAAAUAAAAAAAUAUGGAUUUCAAGUUUUCUUGCACCCAGAUGAACAUCUUUUAAUUCCACUUUCCUACAAACUCCUUAAAGUACCCUCAUAGUGCGAUUGCUGGAUUGUACAGUAGUUCUGUUUUCAACUUUUGAGGGCUUGCCAUACUCUUCCAUAAUGGCUAUAUUAAUUUAUAUUCUGACAAACAAUGUAUGACAGGUUCCCCUUUCUCCACAUCUUUGCCAGGUUUUCUCUUUGUCUUUUUGGCAAUAGCCUUUAAGAAAUUAUUUUAUUUAUUUGAAUGAGUUACAGAGAGAGGUCUUCCAUCCGCUGGUUUACUCUCCAAAUGGCCACUAUGGCCAGAGCUGAGCUGAUCUGAAGCCAGGAGUUUCUUCUGGGUCUCCCACAUGGGUACAAGGGUCCAAGGAUUUGAGCCAUCCUCUGCUGCUUUCCCAGGCACAUGAUCAGGGAGCUGGAUCAGAAGUGGAGCAACUGGGACUCAAACUGGAGCCCUUAUGGGAUGCUGGUGCUGCAGGUUGGGGCUUUAACCAGUUCCACCACAGCACUGGCCCUGGUAAUAGCCCUUCUAACCUGGGAAGAGGUGAUAGUAUAGCUGGAAGAGUGGAUUUUCAGUGUGCUCACCAUAAAGAAAUUAUAACAUUUUUAAAGUUACACAUAUGCUAAUUACCCAGUUUGAUCAUUUAAUAUAUGCAUGAACCAAACCAUCACAUUGUAUUCCAUAAAUAUGUACAGUUAUGACAAUCAAAAAAUAUAAAAGUAAUAAAAAUAUAAUCACUAAAAAGCAGUUCAGUGGAUGCAUUAAAAAGCACAUUAGAAACAGCUACAAAGAGAAGAAAUAUACUGUAAAAUAGAGUUCAGGGAAAUUUUCCAGGAUGCUGUGACAUACAGUGACAUAUGAACAAUAUUUCAACAAGUUUAACAGACCUGGAAGCUAAAAUACACAAGUCACAGAGUGAUGUUUAUAGUUCACUGAUUUUUGUAUAAGAAAGAGGAAAAUGAGAUGAUGCAUUCAUAUUAUAUCUCCAUAACAAACUCAAAGGGUACACAAAAAAUGAAUCUAUAAAAAAUAGUGCACCUAUCUGGAUAUGGUGGAGGUGGAAUCAAUAGGUGUGGACAAAAGUGGGAUUGCGACUUCUAUUACUGUAUACACUUUAUAUGUAUGGAAUUUACGAACCAUGUGUGUUAGUCCAGGUUCUCUGAGAAGCAGAAACCAAGAUGGAAUUGGUUGUGCAAGGGCUGAUGGGGCAAAUGAUUAGGAGGGAAAAGGGAAGGGAGCCCCAGGAGAUGGAAGAGCCUUCCGAACACACUGCAGGUCUCACACCUGGGAAAGGAGGGUUGCAUAGGCAGAUGCUAAGACUGCAGUGUGGGUCUAAGAUUCAGCCAGGCCGAUGGGCUGUCCUCAAGUCGAAGCAGCCUGUUGAAGGGGCCAAAUGCCUUGCAGGAAUGGGCCCCGCCUUAUUAUCUCUGCCAGGUGUAGUCACUGCCUGAGAGCAGCCUGCGUGAAGUGUGGUCUCCAUGCUAACGCGGUGGGAGAUUCAGAGAGCAGCAGCUGAGGCCAUCUGUCAAUUGUGCUUCCUGUAGCAAGAGAUCUGAGUGGCAUAUUUUCAUAGCUGCCACACCAGGGGACUAAAUUUUGUAUUCAAAAAAGGGCCAAAUAAAGACAUUUUCAGACACUGACUGAAGCAGCUUAUCACUCCCAGACUGUCACCCCGAGGACCUCUGGAGGCUUCACUUUAAAAGGAAAUAUUUGGAAUCCUGAAGGACUGUGGAGGAUGCAAGAAGCAAUGUUGAGCAAAUAAACUGGUAAACAAGUGGGAAAGAAGUUGGCCAACACGCAGAUAAAUCCAAAAAGGCAUUAACCAUGAAAACAACAACAGUAAUGAUUCAUUUGGGUGUAUUAAAAACAAGGCAGAGUUAAAAUACUCGCAAUAACAUGUAAGAUUAGAAGGAGAGGAUUUUAAGGCCCAUGCAUUCGUCAGAAGGACAGUAAAGCUAUAGAUUUACUUCAGACUUCAAACCAAGUAUUUUAAAAAUGUAGAAGAAACAAUGAUAAGCGUGCACAUGGAUUAUCUGACUUGCAAGCUGAGGACAGGGAUAAAAUGCAGUCAGUCCAUAAGCAUGAAAUUGGGAGGGAGGGAAGAAUGGGAAACAGAAGGCAUAAAUUAAGGUA